AUUGAGCGCUGGCGGCAUGCCUUACACAUGCAAGUCGAACGGCAGCACGGACUUCGGUCUGGUGGCGAGUGGCGAACGGGUGAGUAAAGUAUCGGAACGUACCUUUCAGUGGGGGAUAACGUAGCGAAAGUUCCGCUAAUACCGCAUAUUCUGUGAGCAGGAAAGCAGGGGAUCGCACGACCUUGCGCUGAUUGAGCGGCCUAUAUCAGAUUAGCUAGUUGGAGGGGUAAAGGCUCACCAAGUCGACGAUUUGUAGCGGGUCUGAGAGGAUCAUCCGCAACACUGGAACUUAGACACGGUCCAGACUCCUACGGUAAGCAGCAGUGGGGAAUUUUGGACAAUGGGGGCAACCGUGAUCCAGCCACGCCGCGUGAGUGAAGAAGGCAUUCGUGUUGUAAAGCUCUUUCGGCAGGGAAGAAAUCGUAUCAGCUAAUACCUGGUGCGGAUGACGGUACCGGCAUAAGAAGCACCGGCUAACUACGUGCCAGCAGCCGCGGUAAAAC
rnacentral:rRNA from 1 species